UGCUCAGUAGCUAAAUAGGUACGGCAGCGGAUUGUUAAUCCGUCGAUGUGUUGGUUCGAGCCCAACCUGAGCAGCCA
rnacentral:tRNA from 1 species